rnacentral:lncRNA from 1 species
CCCAGAGCCAACUUCCUCCAGCCACGUCCCAUCUGCCUACAGCUAUCCAUGGAUUAAUCCAUUUGCUGGAGUAAUCCACUGAUGAAGCCAGAGCCCAAAUCAUUGCUUGCAACUCUUACCUCCGAACCUCGCUGAACUGGGGAUCAUGUUUUCAAAACAUGAACUUUUCAGGGGACAUUCCAGAUCCAAACCAUAACAUACGGGCUGGAAGCAAAUGUUCAUGCAGCCUCUAGGAAUCUAGCUUCUUCCUGUGUAUGUGCUCCAAAACCUGAUCAAUGCCUUUUCCAUUUCUGCUUUCCAAAUUUCAUGCUAGUUAGGCUAUAGGUGAAUUCCAAUAUUGAGAAAGGCAUAGAUAGAGGCCUCAGUAAUGGUUAAGAGUCAAGUAAGACAACGGAGGCUGAGUCAGUAUCACGUACUGUGCUGCCCUCUUUUUUUUUGGGGGGGGGGUGUACCAGGGAUUAAAUUCAGAAGCACUCGACCACUGACCCACAUCCCUAGUCCAAUUUUCUAUUUUUAU